GCAUUGGUGGUUCAGUGGUAGAAUUCUCACCUUCCAUGCUGGAGACCCAGGUUCGAUUCCUGCUCAAUGCA
rfam:Loxodonta africana unplaced genomic scaffold scaffold_26, whole genome shotgun sequence.